rnacentral:rRNA from 1 species
GAUGAACGCUGGCGGCGUGCCUAAUACAUGCAAGUCGAGCGAACAGACGAGGAGCUUGCUCCUCUGACGUUAGCGGCGGACGGGUGAGUAACACGUGGAUAACCUACCUAUAAGACUGGGAUAACUUCGGGAAACCGGAGCUAAUACCGGAUAAUAUAUUUAACCGCAUGGUUCAAUAGUUAAAUACGGUUUUGCUGUCACUUAUAGAUGGAUCCGCGCCGCAUUAGCUAGUUGGUAAGGUAACGGCUUACCAAGGCAACGAUGCGUAGCCGACCUGAGAGGGUGAUCGGACACACGGGAACUGAGACACGGUCCAGAAUCCUACGGGAGGCAGCAGUAGGGAAUCUUCCGCAAUGGGCGAAAGCAUGACGGAGCAACGCCGCGUGAGUGAUGAAGGUCUUCGGAUCGUAAAACUCUGUUAUUAGGGAAGAAAAAAUGUGUAAGUAACUAUGCACGUCUUGACGGUAACUAAUCAGAAAGCCACGGCUAACUACGUG